GUGGGGAAUCUUGCGCAAUGGGCGAAAGCCUGACGCAGCCAUGCCGCGUGAAUGAUGAAGGUCUUAGGAUUGUAAAAUUCUUUCACCGGGGACGAUAAUGACGGUACCCGGAGAAGAAGCUCCGGCUAACUUCGUGCCAGCAGCCGCGGUAAUACGAAGGGGGCUAGCGUUGCUCGGAAUUACUGGGCGUAACGGGCGCGUAGGCGGACAGCUUAGUCAGAGGUGAAAGCCCAGGGCUCAACCUUGGAAUUGCCUUUGAUACUGGCUGUCUUGAGUUUGGGAGAGGUGAGUGGAACUCCGAGUGUAGAGGUGAAAUUCGUAGAUAUUCGGAAGAACACCAGUGGCGAAGGCGACUCACUGGCCCAAUACUGACGCUGAGGCGCGAAAGCGUGGGGAGCAAACAGGAUUAGAUACCCCUGUAGUCC
rnacentral:rRNA from 1 species